rnacentral:rRNA from 1 species
GACGAACGCUGGCGGCGUGCUUAACACAUGCAAGUCGAACGGAAAGGCCCUGCUUUUGUGGGGUGCUCGUGUGGCGAACGGGUGAGUAACACGUGAGUAACCUGCCCUUGACUUUGGGAUAACUUCAGGAAACUGGGGCUAAUACCGGAUAGGAGCUCCUGCUGCAUGGUGGGGGUUGGAAAGUUUCGGCGGUUGGGGAUGGACUCGCGGCUUAUCAGCUUGUUGGUGGGGUAGUGGCUUACCAAGGCUUUGACGGGUAGCCGGCCUGAGAGGGUGACCGGCCACAUUGGGACUGAAAUACGGCCCAGACUCCUACGGGAGGCAGCAGUGGGGAAUAUUGCACAAUGGGCGGAAGCCUGAUGCAGCAACGCCGCGUGCGGGAUGACGGCCUUCGGGUUGUAAACCGCUUUCGCCUGUGACGAAGCGUGAGUGACGGUAAUGGGUAAAGAAGCACCGGCUAACUACGUG